GACGAACGCUGGCGGCGUGCUUAACACAUGCAAGUCGAACGGAAAGGCCCUGCUUUUGUGGGGUGCUCGAGUGGCGAACGGGUGAGUAACACGUGAGUAACCUGCCCUCGACUUUGGGAUAACUUCAGGAAACUGGGGCUAAUACCGGAUAGGAGCUCCUGCUGCAUGGUGGGGGUUGGAAAGUUUCGGCGGUUGGGGAUGGACUCGCGGCUUAUCAGCCUGUUGGUGGGGUAGUGGCUUACCAAGGCUUUGACGGGUAGCCGGCCUGAGAGGGUGACCGGCCACAUUGGGACUGAGAUACGGCCCAGACUCCUACGGGAGGCAGCAGUGGGGAAUAUUGCACAAUGGGCGGAAGCCUGAUGCAGCAACGCCGCGUGCGGGAUGACGGCCUUCGGGUUGUAAACCGCUUUCGCCUGUGACGAAGCGUGAGUGACGGUAAUGGGUAAAGAAGCACCGGCUAACUACGUG
rnacentral:rRNA from 1 species